GGCUCAGGACGAACGCUGGCGGCGUGCUUAACACAUGCAAGUCGAGCGGUAAGGCUCUUUCGGGAGUACACGAGCGGCGAACGGGUGAGUAACACGUGAGCAAUCUGCCCUUCACUUUGGGAUAACCACCGGAAACGGUGGCUAAUACCGAAUAUGACCACUUCACGCAUGUGAUGGUGGUGGAAAGUUCUGGCGGUGGAGGAUGAGCUCGCGGCCUAUCAGCUUGUUGGUGAGGUAAUGGCUCACCAAGGCUUCGACGGGUAGCCGGCCUGAGAGGGUGACCGGCCACACUGGGACUGAGACACGGCCCAGACUCCUACGGGAGGCAGCAGUGGGGAAUAUUGGACAAUGGGCGAAAGCCUGAUCCAGCAACGCCGCGUGAGGGAUGACGGCCUUCGGGUUGUAAACCUCUUUCAGCGGGGACGAAGCGAAAGUGACGGUACCCGCAGAAGAAGGACCGGCCAACUACGUGCCAGCAGCCGCGGUAAUACGUAGGGUCCGAGCGUUGUCCGGAAUUAUUGGGCGUAAAGGGCUCGUAGGCGGUUUGUCGCGUCGGGAGUGAAAACACGGGGCUUAACCCCGUGCCUGCUUCCGAUACGGGCAGACUAGAGGUAUGCAGGGGAGAACGGAAUUCCUGGUGUAGCGGUGAAAUGCGCAGAUAUCAGGAGGAACACCGGUGGCGAAGGCGGUUCUCUGGGCAUUACCUGACGCUGAGGAGCGAAAGUGUGGGGAGCGAACAGGAUUAGAUACCCUGGUAGUCCACACCGUAAACGUUGGGCGCUAGGUGUGGGGCUCAUUCCACGAGUUCCGUGCCGCAGCUAACGCAUUAAGCGCCCCG
rnacentral:rRNA from 1 species